GAUGAACGCUGGCGGCGUGCCUAACACAUGCAAGUCGAGCGGAAAGACGAGGAGCUUGCUUCUCUGACGUGAGCGGCGCGCGGGUGUGUAACACGUGUAUAACCUACCUAUGAGACUGGGAUAACUUCGGGAAACGGGAUCUAAUACCGGAUAAUCUACUGAACCGCAUGGUUGAAUAGUAAAAGACGGUUUUGCUGUCACUUCUCGAUGGUUCCGCGCCGCAUUAGCUAGUUGGUAGGGUAACGGCUUACCAAGGCGACGAUGCGUAGCCGACCUGAGAGGGGGAUCGGCCACACUGGAACUGAGACACGGUCCAGACUCCUACGGGAGGCAGCAGUAGGGAAUCUUCCGCAAUGGGCGAAAGCCUGACGGAGCAAGGCCGCGUGAGUGAUGAAGGUCUUCGGAUCGUAAAACUCUGUUAUUAGGGAAGAACAAAUGUGUAAGUAAAUCUGCACGUCUUGACGGUACCUAAUAAAAAAGCCACGGCUAACUACGUG
rnacentral:rRNA from 1 species